rnacentral:piRNA from 1 species
UUCCUGGACGAGGUAGAGGCCUUCUGAGA